AUUCUCUUUGUUUGACACGUAAUGAUGAACUAAUGAAUUCUACUUGAACUGUUUAGUUCUGUGAAACAAAAUCAAAAGAUUUUAAUUAAAUAUAUAAAAUAUAAAGAAUUUUUAUCAUAGUCUAAUUUGUAUUAAUGUGAUAUAAUCGGUCCGAAGUUAGUCAAUAGAUGAAAGUAAAUAAAAAAGAUAGCAAUUGAGAAAUUAGAUUUUUAAGUUACGAAAUAUUUUUCAGGUAGGUCUGAGCAUCGGCCAACAUCAUGUUAAAUAUCAAAGGAUAAUAUUUGUUCAAUGCUUCAGGGGAACACAUUUAUUGUAAGAAUUUUGUCAUGGAGU